UAGGAAGUGAUGUAAUUCCGUCUGGGCCUGUCAAGCAAGCAAUGAUUGCAACAGAAAGGAGGAGUCAAAAAAAGAAGUUGCUCUUCAAGCACUCCCUCACCGAAGCACCUUCAUGCUGUAGGGUGCUUCAGCUGACUGUUUGAAGGUAUUUUCUCAGCUGUGAACAAUUCAUAGGAAGAGAAUAAAAUCUGAAAAACACGUUCCUUCAGUAAUACUCAACUAUAAAAAACCCACCAGCACAUCCAAACUGUAAUGCUCCUGUACAGAAAGUUGUUGAUGCUCCUGAAGGCACUUUGCCUGCUGUUCUAUGCCAGUGGAAACUAGGGCUGAGGCAAUGAAGCAUAGAUGGUUGUUUUAAAAUGGACCUAGACAUAUUUCUGAAACACAAUUAAAAAAAAUGCAAUUAAAGUAUUUUCUAUGGUGCUAUGUUGUUAAUACUGGUUUGACCACCACCGGAUGCUAAUAUGGGAUAUGUCUCUUUGUCAGUGUGAUUGUAUUAAGCACAGUGAUAGCUAACUCUUAUGAGUUUUCUACAGUCUUUGCAAUACCAUGGACACUAUUUCAGGAAUUUUAAACUUCUGCCUAGUAUCGGAAAUCAUUCAGAUACCACAUUGAAACCUGAGAAAUCAUGUACCUGCACCCUCAUUUUCAGUAGGCAGUGUGAGUAGCAUCUAGCCUAAAAUUCUUAUCUCUCUGAAAACGGUGCCCUGUCCCAACAUGUGGUGUAUUCAGCCACUGACAGGUCUUCAUGCAGGUGAUAAUAUUUUUUGUGUGAUAUUUUAUUAAUCCAAAAUGCCAUAAUUUACAACCCACAGAGGGAUAUGCCAGAAGUGGCAGGAAGCCCCACUUCUCAGCACCCUGUGUUUAAAUUAAACUUUCACCUCAGUAGAGCUGACUGUAGUGUUGCGAAGCUACUUCAGAGAAAAAAAGUGAUCAGAAAUUGUGCCUUGUGGCUUUUCUGCUACUUUAUGUUUGGUUUCUCUCUGAGAUAUGCCUUUCUUCAUUCCCCAUGAGAAACGAUGCCAUUUUAUUACAUGGUUAAAGUAAGUUUAUGUGUUUAUUCACUUAAUUUUGUCUGAACAUACAUAACGGCUUCCUAUUUAAGUAGCAAUAUAGCUGUCACUUAGUGAAGCCUUAAGACUGUAAGUUGUACAAGUGCUGAGCUUGCCAAAAUGUCACUUACCGAAACCUCAUGAAUUUGUAUAAAUUGUAGAAAUGUUGAGUUUGCCAAAAUACAAGCAACUGUCUAUGUUUUCUUCAGCCUGCUUGAGUCUGGCAUGGGGAGAAAUCCUUUCAAAACAGCUGGGUUAGAUGAGCUGAAGCUGAUUUUUAGGUGAAACCAUGUUUUGAGCAGUAUCUGUGAUAGCAGUUC